GACGAACGCUGGCGGCGUGCCUAAUACAUGCAAGUUGAGCGCUGAAGUUUGGUACUUGUACCAACUGGAUGAGCAGCGAACGGGUGAGUAACGCGUGGGGAAUCUGCCUUUGAGCGGGGGACAACAUUUGGAAACGAAUGCUAAUACCGCAUAAAAACUUUAAACACAAGUUUUAAGUUUGAAAGAUGCAAUUGCAUCACUCAAAGAUGAUCCCGCGUUGUAUUAGCUAGUUGGUGAGGUAAAGGCUCACCAAGGCGAUGAUACAUAGCCGACCUGAGAGGGUGAUCGGCCAAAUUGGGAAUGAGAAACGGCCCCAACUCCUACGGGAGGCCGCCGGAGGGGAUCUUCGGCAAUGGAGGAAAGUCUGACCGAGCAAAGCCGCGUGAGUGAAGAAGGUUUUCGGAUCGUAAAACUCUGUUGGUAGAGAAGAACGGUGGUGAGAGUGGAAAGCUCAUCAAGUGGCGGUAACUAACCAGAAAGGGACGGCUAACUACGUG
rnacentral:rRNA from 1 species